UUGAGGAUGGCAGGCAAAUCCACCGUCCGAGCUGAACUUGAUAGUAUGGAGUCUUCUUCGGAAGAAUCCAAUAGUGUGGGUAAUCAUACUCCCGAGAAAAUCCGCUAAGCUUAACCCAUGCGGCACCCGUACCGCAAACGGACACACGUGGUCGGGUAGAACAUACUGAGGCGUUGAGAGAUUCAUGGUUAAGGAACUAGGCAAAUUGACCCUGUAACUUCGGGAUAAAGGGUCCUCGUGAAUAGCGAGGCGCAGAGAAUAGGUCCAGGCAACUGUUUAACAAAAACACAGGGCUGUGCAAACUCGAAAGAUGACGUAUACAGCCUGACACCUGCCCGGUGCCGGAAGGUUAAGAGGAGACGUCACUCGCAAGAGGAAGCAUUGAAUUGAAGCCCCGGUAAACGGCGGCCGUAACAAUAACGGUCCUAAGGUAGCGAAAUUCCUUGUCGGGUAAGUUCCGACCUGCACGAAUGGUGUAAUGAUCCGGACGCUGUCUCAACCAUGAGCUCAGUGAAAUUGUAGUAUCGGUGAAGAUGCCGAUUACCCGCGAUGGGACGAAAAGACCCCGUGAACCUUUACUACAGCUUAGCAUUGACCUUGGCCAUCCGAUGUGUAGGAUAGGCCGGAGGCUUCGAAGCGGGAGCGCCAGCUUUCGUGGAGCCAUCCUUGAAAUACGGCCCUUUGGCUGUCUGAGGUCUAACGCGUGAUACGCGGACACUGCUUGGUGGUAGUUUGACUGGGGUGGUCGCCUCCAAAAGCGUAACGGAGGCUUCCAAAGGUGCCCUCGGGUCGAUUGGUAACCGACCUCAAAGAGUGCAAUGGCAUAAGGGCGCUUGACUGGGAGGCAGACAUGCCGAGCAGGCAGGAAACUGGGGCAUAGUGAUCCGGCGGAUGUGUAUGGAAACUCCGUCGCUCAAAGGAUAAAGGUACUCCGGGGAUAACAGGCUGAUCCCCCCCAAGAGCUCAUAUCGACGGGGUGGUUUGGCACCUCGAUGUCGGCUCGUCACAUCCUGGGGCUGGAGAAGGUCCCAAGGGUUGGGCUGUUCGCCCAUUAAAGUGGCACGCGAGCUGGGCUCAGAACGUCGUGAGACAGUUCGGUCUCUAUCUAUCGUGGGCGUGGGAGUUUUGAGUGGUGCCGUCACUAGUACGAGAGGACCGUGAUGGACAGACCUCCGGUUUACCAGUUGUGCCGCCAGGCGCACCGCUGGGUAUCUGAGUCUGGAUUGGAUAAGCGCUGGAAGCAUCUAAGUGCGAAGCCAGCCGCAAGAUGAGAACUCCAUUGAGGGUCGUCAGAGACGAUGACGUUGAUAGGAUGCAGGUGUAAAGACAGCGAUGUCAAAGCCGAGCAUUACUAAUUGAAG
rnacentral:rRNA from 1 species